AGACGGGGGGUGCUAGCGUUGUUCGGAAUUACUGGGCGUAAAGGGCGCGUAGGCGGCUCUGCGAGUCGGGCGUGAAAUCCCGGGGCUCAACCCCGGAACGGCGCUCGAUACUGCGGGGCUGGAGACCGGAAGAGGAGGGUGGAAUUCCCAGUGUAGAGGUGAAAUUCGUAGAUAUUGGGAGGAACACUGGUGGCGAAAGCGGCUCUCUGGUCCGGUUCUGACGCUGAGGCGCGAAAGCGUGGGGAGCAAACAGGAUUAGAUACCCUAGUAGUCC
rnacentral:rRNA from 1 species